UUCAGAGGUGCUGACUCAUUUCUCCUUCCUAUCUAAGCAUGUGUUGCCGGAGAAACCACGAAAAGAAAUUGGAUUACAGAAAAUAUGAAACUCAUCCUUGUUCAUGUAUGCAAUAACAAACAAAAGAGAAAGGUAUCCUGGGGAUAUAGUGUACCUUUUAUGUGGGACCUAGAUGUUCCCAGGCAAAUGAAUGGAACUAGAGGAAACCUUUUGCUGGAGGUAACCCAGUCACUGAAAGAAAAACAUGGUCUGUACUCACACAUAUAUAAUUUGGACAUAGUGCAAAGUACUUCCAGCAUAAAAUCCACACCACCAGAGAAGCUAGAAAUCAAGCAGUACCCUUGGAGAGCCAUAUAUGCUCUGUCAGAGGAGGGGAAAGGGACAAGAUAUCCUGAGAAAAUUAGGAACAUGGGUGAAGGGGAGAGAGAGUUAGGACAAAUUGAAUGGGAGAAUAGGAUAUGACAGGAUGAUAUGAGGAGAAUGAAGGUUGUUUUGGCAGACUAAGAAUUGAGAGGAAGAUAAGAGAUACCAUUAUAGAGGGAGUUGUUACAGGUUUAAAGAGAAAUCUGGUGCAGGGGAAAGGUCCAGUGAUCUACAAGGAUGAAACCAACUAACCAUCUAAGCAAUAGUAGAGAGGCUAUGUUAAAUGCCCUUCCCUGAUAAUGAGAUUGAUUACUAAUUUAUAUUCCUUGCCAGAGCCUUCAUCCAGUAGCUGAUGGAAACAGAAGCAGACAACAACAGCUAAACACUGAACUGAACUUCAGGAAUACAGUUGCAGAAAGGGAAGAGUCAUGAGCAAAGGGGUGAAGACCAGACUGCUGAAACACACAGACACAGUUGAUCUGAACCAUGGAGAUCUCUAGGCCCACAUAUUCAUCACUGGGAAACCAGCAUGGAACUCAUACAGGCACCAUGAAUCUGGGUGUCAGGUUAGGGGACUCAGGAAAUCUAUAGGGUCACUUGUAGUAGUUCAGUACUUUUCCCUAGCACAGGAAUGAACUUUCAGAGCCCUUUUCACAUAGAGGGAUACUCCCUCAGAAUUUUCACAAGGGUGAGGGCCUAUGGCCUAUCUGAGGGUCUAUGAGAGACCCUGGAGACUCCCUAUGGUUGGUUGUUUACUGUGAGGGGCAGGCAGGGGGGGAUGGAGAGGGAACUGGUGUUGAUAUGUUAAACAAUCAUGUAUCUCAUUUAAAUACAAAUGUGGAGAAAAAGGAAAUAAAAAACUUUCAUUUUUAAUUAGACUGAUAAUAGAGGGUGAUGGGGAUGUCCUUCAAUAUGCAGUGAAUAAGUGUUUCUCUCAUUGGUUAAUGUGAAAUACUGUUUAAAGCAAUGAACAGGCAGUAUGUCGACAGGCAGAAAAUGUCAUUUGGGCUAGCAGACUAGGAGGAUUUUGGGAGAGAAACACAGAGAGUGAAUCUCAUGACAAACACCAUGCUACUACUAGGAAGUCAGGAGGCUCAGGUACUCAAUUGUAAGCAAAGACCACAUGGAACUACACACAUUAAUGGAAAUGGGUUAUUAUCUAUGAGACCACUUGGCACAAAGAGGCAUGAGAAACUUCUGCAUACACCAUUCUGUUUGUGGAGUGACAAGUGAUUUUAUGUUUUGUAUGCAGAGAUGGCUCAGAAUCCCUGUUCUCAAGUUCACAUGAUCAUCAAUGUGUACUUUGGAUGUGGGAAGGGAAUAAGGGGGGGGCAGAGGCAAACAAAAGUCUGAAACAAUGGAGGAGUAGAGGUGGGUAAGAACAGUGAUGUCUGGAUAUAGAGAGGAAGUACAGCUAUGGAGAAAGGUCCAGCAUAAGGGGAAAUAUUAGGGGAUUCACAGGGAUGAACCUAUCUUAGAAUCCAAGAAGUGGUGGAGGAGAUGUCAUUGAUUCCCUUCUCUAAAAUGAAGUUGACGUCUGCCUUGGUUACAAUUCCUAGAGCUUCAUUCAGUAUCUGUUCUAAGCAAAAAUAGGUACCCACAGUUAAGCACUUAAACCUCCCCCUGGAAUCCAGUUUUGGAGAGGUAGGAGGGAUGAGUAAAGGAUCCCAGAUGGUAUUGCAAAAAACAGCAGAAACAGUUGACCAGACCCAGAGAUAGCAUGGGGACACUUGUCAUAAAACAGGGAACAGGACUGUAGGAAUCAAGCCCUCUAAAUGUGGGUGUCAGCUGGGAAGCCAAGAUACUCUAUGGGAACUCCAGCAGUAGAGGCAGUCUUCAACCCUAGAGCACAAAGGAACUCUGGGAGCUCAUUCCUUCUACAGAGGUACUACUACACACCAGAUGAAGCAAGGAAGGCCUAUGCCCUUCAGCAAAUAACAUGAAAGAGUCUGAAGGUCCCUGGUAAAGUGCCUCCCUUUCCCUUAGGAGUAUUUCAGAAUGGGUUGUGGGGCCUGGUAGGGAACAUGGGAGGAAGGGAGGGCCAGGGAAUGGGGGAUAGACAUUUACAUAUGAGUAGUAAUUAAAGAAUUUAAAUAAAGUCAUCAAAAAAGAAAAAGAAACUGUGUUGACCACAGGAGUCAUGAAUAACAGCAAUAUGCAAACUUCUAUUGAGGUGUUUGGCAUCCUGAGCCCACUUGGUGUGUUUUAUAUUAGAAACACACACACACACACACACACACACACACACACACACACACACACACACACACACUCGAAUACAAUUAAAGCAGACGUUAAGGUGUCAAAACUAGUUUGAAAAACAGAUUGUUCAUUAGGAAUGUACUCAAGAGAUAGAGCGUCAUGUACUACCAGGUUGGUAAGAGAAAAGAGAGACCCGCAAAUGUGUGACACUCGUAUUAUUAGCCUUGCUACAUCAUUCUGAAAAUGUCCAAGCAUAUGUGGUCAGCAUCACCUGUGCAAGCCUCCUGAUGUUGGUGGGCAUGGACAGCCUCACAUGUGUCAGCCUUCAAAUUGGUGUGACAAGCAUUCCCCACUACAACAGACAAUGGGAAACAGAUUCUUUGUAACCACUCUUAGUGCUAAAAUAAUGCUACUGUUCUUGUGGUUAAAUUAUGAUGUAUACUAUGUCAUCAUUAAUUUUCUGUAUCUAAAUGCUUAUCUAUUAGAAAUUGCUUCAGAUGAAUAUACAUAAAUAAAUGAAACUCAUUAAAAUCAUUAUUGGGGUUUGUUGUCUAUAAAAUCUAUACUGCUACCACACUCUUAUUGUAUCAACAUAAUUUAAUAUUGCUAUUGCCAAUAUUUUAAAACAAAAGGUUAUUCUAUUUAAAUACAUGUGCCUCUUGUACAAUGAAAAGAGAAAAUAUGAUCCUAUAUUAACAUUAUGUACCCUCAUAUAUUUUGCCUACUACAAUUUGUUUUGUUAUAUUAGACCCUAAAAAAUCUUAGAAAAUGUUAUUACACCAGUAAUAAUAAUGUGAGCAUAUAUUCUCAAAAAUGCAUAAACUGUUUGUUCUCAAGGACACAGUAAUAUAAGGAAGUGUGUGUCUGGGUGUCACUCUGUGUGUGUGGAAAGCUAUAAUCAUAGGCAAAACAUCAGAGAUUUACUGGUGAAAUUAAGUACCUGAACUGGAACAAUCCGCAAAAUUUAAGACUCAAUCAAAAUGGACAAUAAGUAUAUUGUAAUUCUAUUUGG
ensembl:lncRNA